GACGAACGGCUGGGCGGCGUGGAUUAGGCAUGCAAGUCGAACGGUAUCAUCCUUUCGGGGGUGAGAGAGUGGCGAACUGGUGAGUAACACGUAGGUUAUCUACCCUCAAGACGGGGACAACCCAGGGAAACUUGGGCUAAUACCGGAUGUGAGCAACUUUUAGUUGUUUGAAAGGUGGCGUAAGCUGUCGCUUGGGGAUGAGCCUGCGUCCUAUUAGUUAGUUGGUGAGGUAACGGCUCACCUAGGCAAUGAUAGGUAGGCGGCCUUAACGGGUGGUCGCCCACACUGGGAUUGAGAUACGGCCCAGACUCCUACGGGAGGCAGCAGUCGAGAAUAGUCUACAAUGGUCGGAAGACUGAUAGUGCGACGCCGCGUGAACGAUGAAUCCCUUCGGGGUGUAAAGUUCUUUUAUAUGUGAGCAGUGCUUCUUAUAUUAACAGUAUGGGGAGAGAGAUAUUAGCAUAUGAAUAAGCAACGGCUAACUCCGUG
rnacentral:rRNA from 1 species